GUGGGGAAUAUUGCACAAUGGGCGAAAGCCUGAUGCAGCAACGCCGCGUGAGGGACGACGGCCUUCGGGUUGUAAACCUCUUUUAGUAGGGAAGAAGCGAAAGUGACGGUACCUGCAGAAAAAGCACCGGCUAACUACGUGCCAGCAGCCGCGGUAAUACGUAGGGUGCAAGCGUUAUCCGGAAUUAUUGGGCGUAAAGAGCUCGUAGGCGGUCUGUCGCGUCUGCUGUGAAAACUGGAGGCUCAACCUCCAGCCUGCAGUGGGUGCGGGCAGACUAGAGUGGGGUAGGGGAGAUUGGAAUUCCUGGUGUAGCGGUGGAAUGCGGAGAUAUCAGGAGGAACGCCGAUGGCGAAGGCAGAACUCUGGGCCGUAACUGACGCUGAGGAGCGAAAGCGUGGGGAGCGAACAGGAUUAGAUACCCCAGUAGUCC
rnacentral:rRNA from 1 species